UGGCUGUAUAUUUAUCUUAAUUAGAAAAUUCCAUCGGUGAUUUCUUCAAAUUGGCACAAAUAAUCUUUAGACAUAUUCAAGCCUAAUGUAAUUUUUAAAAAGAGGGGUCCAUGAAUUCAUUUUCAUGUUGAAUCAGUAAAAAAAUGGGUCUUUUCCUGAUAUGUAACUACUUGACAUGGCUAAAAGUAACAUUUGACAUUAGCGACAUCAUUACCUCCCCUGUUACUGUAGCGUAUACCCUUGAUAGCAAACUUGUACAUGUAUCAGCCUCUCUAUAGAUCUUGAGGAACCUUAGCUAUGAAAAAGUUAAAGUAAGUAAAGUUAUCGUUUUAAGGAGCAUAAACUAAAAUUAAUAAAAUAUUUACUCUUAUAACAAUACUUAAGCACUGUGCACAGUGUUGUAGUAAUUUAUUAGAAUGAUCUACUAAAUGGUGGAGUGAUAAUUUGCACAUCACAAUGUCAACAAGGGGAGUAAUUAUAAAUAGAAAAUGAGGGUUGGUAUGAAAGUAAACAUUAAAAAGAAUGUUAAAUAAAAUUGGUUGAAUAAUUUUUAAUCAAAUUUUGCAGAGGUACUGCUUCCAAUUGGCUUCCCUCAGAGUUACAUGCCUCUAAUUGGGACCGCUCUGCCAGGGUACUACUUCUAAUUAGCUUUUGCAGACAGAGGUAUAUAUGUACUGCUUCCAACUAGCUUCGCAACAAGACAGAGGGUGUGCUCCCAAUUAGCUUCACUA
rnacentral:lncRNA from 1 species